UAGUCCACGCUGUAAACGAUGUCUACUUGGAGGUUGUUGUCUUGAAUGAUGGCUUUCGGAGCUAACGCGUUAAGUAGACCGCCUGGGGAGUACGGCCGCAAGGUUAAAACUCAAAUGAAUUGACGGGGGCCCGCACAAGCGGUGGAGCAUGUGGUUUAAUUCGAUGCAACGCGAAGAACCUUACCUACUCUUGACAUCUAGAGAAGCCAGCGGAGACGCAGGUGUGCCUUCGGGAACUCUAAGACAGGUGCUGCAUGGCUGUCGUCAGCUCGUGUUGUGAAAUGUUCGGUUAAGUCCGGCAACGAGCGCAACCCCUAUCCUUAGUUACCAGCAUUGAGUUGGGGACUCUAGGGAGACUGCCGGUGUCAAACCGGAGGAAGGCGGGGAUGACGUCAAGUCCUCAUGGGCUCUUACGGGCCAGGGGCUACACACGUACUACAAUGGGUAGAAACAAACAGUCGCGAAACCGCGAGGUCAAGCUAACCUGU
rnacentral:rRNA from 1 species